AGCAGGUGUGGGGUGGGGGGAGGCUGCGUAGAAAGAGGAGAGAUUAUUCAACACGGGUUGGGGGGCUGUUUCAUUCACACAUGGCAUUGAUAAAUAAAGAAGAGGAAUAAAAGGAGUGGAAAUGACUUGGUUUCCUGGGCUUCCAUUCUCCUCAUCCUCCCCACUGGCCCUUGCUCAGUGAAUUUCACCUCGUCUGUCUCUGUGCCCCUGUGGGAACAAUCCCAGUAGCAGCUCACAGCCUGCUGCCGGCCCGUGAAAUGCAAUCAGAGUGAUGCGGACACGGCACGCUGGGGCAAACUGACUCUUUCCAUUUCGUCCUGAAAACAGAACUAACAUCCUCAAGGUGGUGGACUUUGGUUCAGAGGAAUUAAAGAAGAACAAUCCCCUCUGCAGAAGAGACUGGAGACAGCAAUAGAGACCAGGACAACUCUGCAUGCACACACCACACUGGCAGCUCUAGGUGCACAAGACCAAAUCCUCAGCUGGUGUAAAUGG
rnacentral:lncRNA from 1 species